rnacentral:rRNA from 1 species
AAUUCGACUCAACACGGGAAAACUUACCAGGUCCGGACACAGGAAGGAUUGACAGAUUGAUAGCUCUUUCUUAAUUUCUGUGGGUGGUGGUGCAUGGCCGUUCUUAGUUCGUGGAACUGAUCUGUCAGCUUAAUUGCGUUAACGAACGAGACCUUUAAUUAUUAAUUAGUUAAAUAUAUAGUAAAAUAUAUAAUUUAAAAGAAGGAAAUAUUAUUUUCUUUCUUUUCAUUGACUUCUUAAAAUAACAAUUGGUGAUUAACCAAAGUAAGUUAAAGGCAAUAACAGGUCUGUGAUGCCCUUUAGAUGUUCUGGGCUGCACGCGCGUUACACUGAAAAUAUCAAUAAGUUUUUAUAUAAACAAAUGAUAUCUUUUUUUGAUUUGAUUUGUUUAUGUCCUUGAUUGAAAAAUUUGGGUAACUUGAUAACUAUUUCGUGAUGGGGAUUGAUAAUUGUAAUUAUUUAUCAUGAACGAGGAAUACCUAGUAAACGUCAAGUCAUUAACUUGCAUUGAUUACGUCCCUGCCCUUGUACACACCG